rnacentral:rRNA from 1 species
CCUACGGGUGGCAGCAGUGGGGAAUAUUGCGCAAUGGGCGAAAGCCUGACGCAGCGACGCCGCGUGAGGGAUGAAGGUCUUCGGAUCGUAAACCUCUGUCAGCAGGGAAGAACGGUCACUGUGGUAAUCAGCAGCGAAUUGAUGGUACCCGCAAAGGAAGCACCGGCUAACUCCGUGCCAGCAGCCGCGGUAAUACGGAGGGUGCGAGCGUUAAUCGGAAUUACUGGGCGUAAAGCGCUCGUAGGCGGUAUGUCAAGUCAAGGGUGAAAUCUCCGCGCUCAACGUGGGAACUGCCUUUGAAACUGGCAAGCUGGAGUGUGUGAGAGGGUAGUGGAAUUCCAGGUGUAGGGGUAAAAUCCGUAGAUAUCUGGAAGAACAUCAGUGGCGAAGGCGACUAUCUGGCACGUAACUGACGCUGAGGAACGAAAGCGUGGGUAGCAAACAGGAUUAGAUACCCCGGUAGUC